rnacentral:tmRNA from 1 species
GGGGGUGAACGGUUUCGACUUUGGUAGUCGAAAUGGGAGAAGCGAGCCGAGAAUGUUGGUCAUCUCGUAAACGUCCAGCAAAAACAAUAAGUGC